GAUGAACGCUGGCGGCGUGCCUAAUACAUGCAAGUCGAACGCAUUGUGGUUGAAAUGAUAUGAAGAACUUGUUCAGAUUUGAUUUUCAACAUUGCAAUGAGUGGCGAACGGGUGAGUAACACGUGGGAAACCUACCUCUUAGCAGGGGAUAACAUUUGGAAACAAAUGCUAAUACCGUAUAAUAAUUAAAACCGCAUGGUUUUAGUUUAAAAGAUGGUCUUGCUAUCACUAAGAGAUGGUCCCGCGGUGUAUUAGUAGUUGGUGACGGUAAUGGCUCACCAAGACAAUGAUACAUAGCCGAGUUGAGAGACUGACCGG
rnacentral:rRNA from 1 species